UACGUAGGGUGCGAGCGUUAAUCGGAAUUACUGGGCGUAAAGCGUGCGCAGGCGGUUUGUAAGCCGGAUGUGAAAUCCCCGGGCUUAACCUGGGAACUGCAUUUGUGACUGCAUCGCUGGAGUGCGGCAGAGGGGGAUGGAAUUCCGCGUGUAGCAGUGAAAUGCGUAGAUAUGCGGAGGAACACCGAUGGCGAAGGCAAUCCCCUGGGCCUGCACUGACGCUCAUGCCACGAAAGCGUGGGGAGCAAACAGG
rnacentral:rRNA from 1 species